rnacentral:lncRNA from 1 species
GACAGUGAGGUCUCAGACAUGGAGACGGAGAAGGACUCUUGUUUGAGACGUCCAUCCUCAGAAUCCUCAGGAGGAAAAAGAAAGACGCCUUCCUCUGAGUGUGGUGAGGACACCCUGUCCUCAGCAUCCUCUACACCAAGAAGGCCACACCAUGUCGAGUCAGACUGUGAUGAUGCUGAAGCAGGACCCUCUGAAGCAAAGAGACAAACUGUGACAUCUAUAACGGAUGACUCUGAAGAAGGAACCCAAAGAUACAACCGAGCACAGCGAGGUGAAUCCUCUGUUACAGGUAUGGCACAGUCUGGACAGUUUACCCAUUACCUUUUUCAACACAACCACUAGGUAGGCAUUAUUAGUGUUAUUGAAACACAUUAUGUAAAUUGGUUGAUUUAUCUUCCUGUAUGUUUUUUAUUAAACAAAAUAAGAAAUAAGAUUGUUAAUGCCAAACAAGAUGGUUGCGCUACAACUACAAAAAUCCUACGUAUAUAUUGUGAACUUGCUGCCCU